GAGGGUACAGCUCAGUGGUAGAGUGCAUGCUUAGCAUGCAAGAGGUCCCAGAUUCAAUCCCCAGUACCUUCA
rnacentral:tRNA from 1 species